rnacentral:rRNA from 1 species
GGGCCCGCACAAGCGGUGGAGCAUGUGGUUUAAUUCGAAGAUACGCGCAGAACCUUACCAACACUUGACAUGUUCGUCGCGACUUUAAGAGAUUAAAGUUUUCGGUUCGGCCGGACGAAACACAGGUGCUGCAUGGCUGUCGUCAGCUCGUGUCGUGAGAUGUUGGGUUAAGUCCCGCAACGAGCGCAACCCUCACUUUUAGUUGCCAGCAUUUAGUUGGGCACUCUAGAGAGACUGCCGGUGAUAAGCUGGAGGAAGGUGGGGAUGACGUCAAGUCCUCAUGGCCCUUACGUGUUGGGCUACACACGUGCUACAAUGGUAUCUACAACAGGAAGCAAAACGGCGACGUUAAGCAAAUCCUUAAAAGAUACCUCAGUUCGGAUUGCACUCUGCAACUCGAGUGCAUGAAGCUGGAAUUACUAGUAAUCG